CAAUAGCGUAUAUUAAAGUUGUUGCAGUUAAAAAGCUCGUAGUUGGAUUUCUGGUCGGAAGCUACUGUCCUCUGAUGAGCGUACAAGUGCGUCCUACCAUCCUUCUGUUAACCUUUAAGGCUUUCGCGGCUUUCUAGGGGCUCAGAUAUUUUACCUUGAGAAAAUUAGAGUGUUUCAGGCAGGCUAGCGCCGGAAUACAUUAGCAUGGAAUAAUGGAAUAGGACUUUUGCCUCUUCUGUUGGUCAUGAGGCUCGAGUAAUGAUUAAUAGGGAUAGUUGGGGGCAUUAGUACUUAACUGUCAGAGGUGAAAUUCUCGGAUUUGUUAAAGACUAACUUAUGCGAAAGCAUUUGCCAAGGAUGUUUNCAUUAA
rnacentral:rRNA from 1 species